CAAAUAAAAAUCGUCCCCCCUUUUAAAUCUAAAGGCAAUGCUUGGCCCGAUACUGGCAAGGAUGGCAUGUGAUGACUCGUUGUGCAGAAGUGCUAUGGACUCUGUGUACUUUUCCUGAGCAUCCCUACCAGAGAAGCUGUCUGACACUUCUUUGUCAUGGAUACUGAAGGAGGAGGCCCAGACUGGGAGAAGAGGCAUCCAGCGCCCAGAGAGGUGGCCGCAUCUUUGCUGAGUGGACAGGCUGGGCCCGGGUGAGGGUGCCUGGUGACUACCGCAAGCUGCCGCCUUCAGACAGGUCAGGUGGAUGUGGACCCUGAGCAGUGGCAGGCCAGCCAAGAUGGAAUGGAGAUUUGACAUCUCUCUUCUGCUUCCUGGUAAGUCGUAAGUCCCCCUUACCUCCUACCUACAUUUAAAUAAAGAUAUGUUGCUAUGUAC
rnacentral:lncRNA from 1 species